AAACGACUCUCGGCAACGGAUAUCUCGGCUCACGCAUCGAUGAAGAACGUAGCAAAAUGCGAUACUUGGUGUGAAUUGCAGAAUCCCGUGAACCAUCGAGUUUUUGAACGCAAGUUGCCCCCGAAGCCAUCCGGUUGAGGGCACGCCUGCCUGGGCGUCACG
rnacentral:rRNA from 1 species